rnacentral:rRNA from 1 species
GACAGAGGGUGCGAACGUUGUUCGGAAUUACUGGGCGUAAAGCGCAUGUAGGCGGCAGCGCAAGUCGGGCGUGAAAUCCCACGGCUCAACCGUGGAAGUGCACUCGAAACUGCGCAGCUAGAGUCCUGGAGAGGAAGGUGGAAUGCUUGGUGUAGAGGUGAAAUGCGCAGAUAUCAGGAGGAACACCGGUGGCGAAGGCGGGUCUCUGGGCCGAUAUUGACGCUGAGGAGCGAAAGCGUGGGGAGCGAACAGG